rnacentral:lncRNA from 1 species
GGUCAUUGUCAUAACCAGAGAAGUGGAUCCUGCCCCCCGGGAGCAGCUUUGCUGGAGGACUCACACCAAUCUUCAUGAACUUUCUUUUGUGGGGUUUCUUGAGUUCCAGCAGGGCGUAGUCAUAAUCCAUGCCGAUGUCAUUGGCAUUGCCCUUGAUCCACCCCUUGGGCACAUGGGUGCGCUUCACACGGAUCCACUGAAACUUCAUCUUAUCUGGCAUGGCUGGGCUCGAGCUGUUGUUCCCUCCGGCACCAUCUUUAUACUUGGGCUUCAGGAAGCCCACUCGGAGUUUCUGUGUCCCUUUCACAUAGGUUUUCCCAUCGUGUAUGCAGUGGGCAGCAGUGAGGACGUGCUUCUCAGCCACCAGGGUGCCGGUGCAGCCAGUAGACAACUUCACCGAUGUGGAGAAAGGAUAGUUGAGCAGGAAGUCCUUCCCGAAAAUGCUAAACCUGCCAUCGUAACCGUAAAUCUGCCUCUUCCUGCGAGAUCUCCCUGUGCCCUCCGAGUCUCUGCCUUGUGCCCUGCCUUCACCACUGCUGAGGACGUAGAUGCCCACUCGAGUCUCUGUGCGGCUGCCAUUGGCGUAAAGGGUUUCAUAGGAAAGGUACUGCUUGGCCUCUUCGUAGGUGGGCAGUGGUGUUCCCUUGUGACACUGGGGUCCACACGAGGAGGACACCUCCAAUUUCGCUUUGGCGUCAAAGUCUGCCUUAGCUAAGUUGAGGGUAGACUGAGGCAAGACUACAGGGAGGCGGUAAGCCGGCCAUGUGGGUUUCCACGGAACGGUGUAAGGACUCACCUGCAUGAACACACAGAGCAGGACAAGAAGGAUGAAGAGCCCUGGGAUUCCAGCCAUGCUGAGUGCUACUGUAGAAACAAAGACAAGGAGUCAGGAGGACAAAAGCUACACAGGUCAUUUACUGCAGCCCGGCAGGGCACAGCCGCACGCUGGUCAUGCUUCUAAGACUGGGAACAUUCCUCAGGUUCCCAGCGAGAGAAUCCCUCAGGUAAUGGUCUCACUUACAUGCAAGGACUUGCUUGACCUUAGGAUCAUUUCCACACCUCAGUCCCAAAUGAAGCUGGUUUUUUUUUUUUUUUUUUCCUUCAUGCUUAAGAAGUAAAGACCAUGAGACAUUACAGGGCCACAUCUAGAAAAUUUACCACUCUUCUGUGACCAUAUGGCCAGCACUCAUUUUUUAUGAGGUUUUUGAAUGUUCUUUUUACUUGAUUCUAUAUACCUUGUCCUCUCCUGUCUAGCUAUCCACCCACUCCUGGCCCCUUUCCUUCCUUCUUAUCUUAUUCUAUUACAAUAAGUUCUUACAUAAUUUUCUGGGCAACAUGCUCACUUAGAUAAUAAAUCUAAAUCAGACACUUU